UACGUAGGGUCCGAGCGUUGUCCGGAAUUACUGGGCGUAAAGAGCUCGUAGGUGGUUUGUCGCGUUGUUCGUGAAAACUCACAGCUCAACUGUGGGCGUGCGGGCGAUACGGGCAGACUGGAGUACUGCAGGGGAGACUGGAAUUCCUGGUGUAGCGGUGGAAUGCGCAGAUAUCAGGAGGAACACCGGUGGCGAAGGCGGGUCUCUGGGCAUUAACUGACGCUGAGGAGCGAAAGCGUUGGGAGCGAACAGG
rnacentral:rRNA from 1 species